rnacentral:rRNA from 1 species
GACGAACGCUGGCGGUGUGCUUAACACAUGCAAGUCGAACGGAAAGGCCCUGCUUUUGUGGGGUGCUCGAGUGGCGAACGGGUGAGUAACACGUGAGUAACCUGCCCUUGACUUUGGGAUAACUUCAGGAAACUGGGGCUAAUACCGGAUAGGAGCUCCUGCUGCAUGGUGGGGGUUGGAAAGUUUCGGCGGGUGGGGGUGGACUCGCGGCUUAUCAGCUUGUUGGUGGGGUAGUGGCUUACCAAGGCUUUGACGGGUAGCCGGCCUGAGAGGGUGACCGGCCACAAUGGGACUGAGAGACGGCCCAGACUCCUACGGGAGGCAGCAGUGGGGAAUAUUGCACAAUGGGCGGAAGCCUGAUGCAGCAACGCCGCGUGCGGGAUGACGGCCUUCGGGUUGUAAACCGCUUUCGCCUGUGACGAAGCGUGAGUGACGGUAAUGGGUAAAGAAGCACCGGCUAACUACGUG